rnacentral:misc_RNA from 1 species
GUUUUCGAUAAUCUGACGACAUUCCACACUGCAUCCUUGGCUGCUACUGGGGCUGGUUUUAUUGCUCGUGACAUGACAUUUGAGAACUGGGCUGGUCCAGCCAGGCAUCAAGCUGUGGCUCUCCGGGUUGGCGCUGACCAUGCCGUGGUCUACCGGUGCAACAUCAUCGGAUACCAAGACACUCUUUAUGUGCACUCGAAUCGCCAGUUUUUCCGGGAAUGUGAUAUUUAUGGUACAGUUGAUUUCAUAUUUGGUAAUGCUGCUGUGGUGUUUCAAAAUUGCAGCAUUUACGCUCGUAAACCUAUGGAUUUUCAGAAAAAUACUAUCACUGCACAAAAUCGUAAAGACCCUAAUCAAAAUACAGGCAUAUCUAUCCAUGCCUGUGGCUCUACGCCACCCCAGAUCUCGAGGCGGCCAAAGGUAACUUCUCAACAUAUCUAGGUCGUCCAUGGAAGCUUUACUCAAGGACUGUCUAUAUGCAAACGUACAUGGGUGAUCACAUUCAUCCAAGAGGGUGGCUAGAGUGGAAUGCAACAUUUGCACUUGAUACACUAUACUAUGGUGAGUAUAUGAAUUAUGGGACAGGUGGGUCUGUCGGGCAACGUGUAAAAUGGCCCGGGUAUCGGGUCAUCAAUUCAACUGUUGAGGCAAGUAGAUUCACCGUAGCAGAGUUUAUUUAUGGAUCAUCAUGGUUGCCUUCUACUGGGGUGGCAUUUUUAGCUGGAUUAUCAGUUUGAGUAAUAUACAUAUAUUAUAAAGUUGCUACCACGCAUGUCCUUAGUGACUGUAUGCAAGGAUAAUUUUUCUAUUCUUUUUUUGUCGUUUUUGGCAUAAUUCAAUAACCAUUGAAACAGUGAUUGUUCCUUUUCUUGUGUAGUUGUAACUUGGGAUAGAAAGUUGAAGGGAAAUGUUAUCUCUCUUAUUAUUAAAACUGUAAGUCUUGAGAAAUACUAGUGAUGCGU